UUUGCUUCCUGGAUGAUCAGAACGCCUAGUUUUGGAGCCUUGAAAACCCUAUGAAUUGCAGUUCUACUCAGUCCACAUGCGGUUGCCAUGAGUUGGUAUCUACUCCACAGCAAUUAACAACAACCACAAAGGAGAGCCAGCAGAAAUCCACUAAUGUAGUCUAUCAGGCCCACCACGUGAGCAGGAACAAGAGAGGGCAGGUGGUUGGAACAACGGGAGGAUUCCGAGGAUGUACUGUCUGGCUAACAGGUCUCUCCGGUGCGGGAAAAACAACAAUAAGUUUUGCUCUGGAAGAGUACCUCGUCUCGCAUUCCAUCCCCUGCUACUCCCUGGAUGGGGACAACAUCCGUCACGGCCUGAACAAAAACCUUGGAUUCUCUGCUGGGGACAGAGAAGAAAAUAUCCGCCGGAUUGCCGAGGUGGCCAAGCUCUUUGCUGAUGCUGGUCUGGUCUGCAUCACCAGCUUCAUCUCUCCUUUCUCAAAGGAUCGUGAGAAUGCCCGCAAAAUCCACGAAUCAGCAGGACUGCCAUUCUUUGAAAUAUUCGUAGAUGCACCUCUAAACAUUUGUGAAAGCAGAGACGUAAAAGGCCUCUACAAACGGGCCCGAGCUGGGGAGAUUAAAGGGUUUACUGGUAUUGAUUCUGACUAUGAGAAACCUGAAACUCCAGAGCGUGUGCUUAAAACCAAUUUGUCCUCAGUGAGUGACUGUAUCCAGCAGGUGGUAGAACUUCUGCAGGAGCAGAACAUUGUACCCCACACUACAAUCAAAGGCAUCCAUGAACUCUUCGUGCCGGAAAACAAACUUGACCAAGUUCGAGCUGAGGCUGAGACUCUCCCUUCGUUAUCAAUUACUAAGCUGGAUCUCCAGUGGGUCCAAGUUUUGAGUGAAGGCUGGGCCACUCCCCUGAAGGGUUUUAUGCGGGAGAAGGAAUACUUGCAGGUUCUACACUUUGACACUCUGCUAGAUGAUGGAGUGAUCAACAUGAGCAUUCCCAUCGUACUGCCUGUCUCGGAGGAUGAUAAGAAACACCUGGAAGAGUGCAGCGAGUUUGCGCUGGUGUACUGUGGACGGAGGGUGGCUAUCUUAAAAGAUCCUGAAUUCUAUGAACAUAGAAAAGAGGAACGUUGCUCCCGUGUGUGGGGGACAACGUCUGAAAAACACCCGCAUAUCAAAAUGGUGAUGGAAAGCGGUGAUUGGCUGGUUGGUGGGGACCUUCAAGUGCUGGAGAGAAUAAGGUGGAAUGAUGGGCUGGACCAAUACCGCCUGACGCCUCUAGAGCUCAAACAGAAAUGUAAAGAAAUGAAUGCUGAUGCGGUGUUCGCAUUCCAGUUGCGCAAUCCUGUCCACAAUGGCCAUGCUCUGUUGAUGCAGGACACCCGCCGGCGGCUCCUGGAGAGGGGCUACAAGCACCCGGUCCUCCUGCUACACCCUCUGGGUGGCUGGACCAAGGAUGACGAUGUGCCCCUGGACUGGCGGAUGAAGCAGCAUGCAGCUGUGCUCGAAGAAGGGGUCCUAGAUCCCAAGUCAACCAUAGUUGCCAUCUUUCCAUCUCCCAUGUUAUAUGCUGGCCCCACUGAGGUCCAGUGGCACUGCAGGGCCCGGAUGAUUGCGGGAGCCAACUUCUACAUCGUGGGCCGGGACCCUGCAGGAAUGCCCCACCCUGAGAUAAAGAAGGACCUGUAUGAACCCACUCAUGGAGCCAAGGUCUUGAGCAUGGCCCCUGGCCUUACCUCUGUAGAAAUCAUUCCAUUCCGAGUGGCUGCCUACAACAAAGCCAAAAAAGCCAUGGACUUCUAUGAUCCAGCAAGAUUCUAAUGAAGUAACACUAUGCCUUCAGCAUAUAAAUAGAAACUAGUGGGAAAUGAGACUUUCCCAUGUUCAACAAUGAUCCAGAGAACAUUCAUAUUUUGCAUCAUAAAACUAAUUAGAGACUAAUCCUUUGUGCUUUCAUGAAUAAGAAACAGAAUGCUAAAAAUUCCCUUCACCCAUGACAAAUAUAAUUUGAAAAGACUUUCCGAAGACAUUGUUUUUGAAAGAAGAAAAGCAGAACACUAAAAUCAAGUUUAAAUUAGACAUGAUGAAUAAUGCCUUAAAAGUUUCAAUGUGAAAAGGUAAUAGACCCUGUGUAAAGUAGGGCUAGCUUAUGAGACAAAGAGCUUAAAUUUCAUCAUGUGUGUUCAUCGCCUGUAUGUAUGCGAUCAGCAUCAUCUACAUCUACACUAGACCACGUAUGUAUGUGGUUCGAAAGGUUAUAAUCUUCCAGGCAGGCAAUAUAAUAAACUUUAAAAAAGCUGUAUCAGUUAACAUGAGGUGUCUGCAAAACUGUCGACAACUGCCUUCUAAAAAAAAAAAAAAAAACUGCCUUCUAGUAGCUGUUAAAUUUCUAGUCACACCAUAAUCCUCCCAAUUCAAAUGGACUUGUAAAAUAAUUUCAUCCCCUUUCUCUUCUUCUCUGAACUUUAAUGCCUACCCUUGUUAACGGUUUACCAAUCGUUGUUGUUAGGUGCCGUCGAGUCGGUUCCAAUUCAUAGUGACGCCAUGCACAACAGAAUGAAACACUGCCUGGUCCUGUGCCAUCCUUACAACCGUUGAUUGCUUGAGUCCAUUGUUGCAGCCACUGUGUCAAUCCAUCUCGUUGAGGGCCUUCCUCUUUUUCACUGACUCUGUACUUUACCAAGCAUGAUGUCCUUCUCCAGGGACUGAGGCCUCCUGACAUGUCCAAAGUAUAUAAGACGCAGUCUCGCCAUCCUUGCUUCUAAGGAGCAUUCUGGUUCUACUUCUUCCAAGAUAGAUUUGUUCAUUCUUUUGGCAGUCCAUGGUAUAUUCAAUAUUCUUUGCCAACACCACAAUUCAAAGGUGUCAAUUCUUCAGUCUCCCUUAUUCACCAUCCAGCUUUCACAUGCAUAUGAUGCAACUGAGAAUACCAUGCUUGGAUCAGGUACACCUUAGUCUUCAAGGUGGUAUCUUUACUUUUCAACACUUUAAAGAGGUCCUUUGCAGCAGAUCUGCCCAAUGCAACGCAUCUUUUGAUUUCUUGACUGCUGCUUCUGGGGGUGUUGACUGCGGAUCCAAGUAAAAUGAAAUCCUUGACAAAUUCGAUCUUUUCUCCGUUUAUCAUGAUGUUGCUUAUCAGUCCAGUUGUGAGGAUUUCUGUUUUCUUUAUGUUGAAGUGUAAUCCAUACUGAACGCUGUCGUCUUUGAUCUUUAUCAUGAAAUGCUUCAACUCCUUUUCACUUUCCGCAAGCAAGACUGUGUCGUCUGCAUGACACAAGUUGUUAAUGAAUCUUCCUCCAAUCCUAAUGCCUGGUUCUUCAUACAGUCCAGCUUCUAGGAUUAUUUGCUCAGCAUACAGAUUGAAUAGGUAUGGUGAAAGGAUGCAACUCUGCCACAUACUUUUCCUGACUUUAAACCACUCAGAAGCCCCUUGUUCUGUCCAAGGUUUACCAAUUAAGUGUGUUUUAUCUAAAUUGCAUUACUACUACAUAAAGUCUUUUGAAGGCAGUUACUAAAUGUUUAAUUAAAAGGCAAAAAGUUAUUUGUUAAUUUCUCAUCUAGAACAGAAGUUCUUAACCUAGAAUCCACGGAAGUUUUAGAAAUUUUCCUGAAAUUGUACAAAAAAUUUCACAUGUAUAUGUUGUUUUCCUUGGGAAGACUAUAUAACUUUUAUCUGACACUCGGCCCUGUGAUCUCCCUCAAAUGGUUAAUAACCACUCAUCCAAUCUCUGUAAUUUGCUGGGUUCUUUAAACUUCUGCACAGAGCAUAUAUGUUCUUUUGAUACAUUUUUUAAAAAUAAAUCAUUAGAACACUAACGAAAGACACUAAGGAAGACAUGAACAAUCAGAAACAGCACAUAUUUUUGGGUAGAGAGAUUCAACAUCAAAAAUGUUUUAAUUCUCUUUAAGUUAAUUUAAAAACUGAACAUGACCCAAUGAAAAUAUUAAUGUUUGCUUUUUCCUGAAUAAGCCAAAUUGAUUCUAAAAUUUAUACAGAAAAAUGAAUAAAAAUAACUAGGGGAUGAGGGGGGGCACACAACAAGGGAUGUGUAACCCUAAACCCUUUGCCUUGGGUUGAUUCCGAUUCACAGCAACCCCACAGGACAGGGUAGAACUGACCCAUAAGGCUUCCAAGGCUGUAAUCUUUACAGAAGGCGGCUGCCACAUCUUUCUCCCAUAUCUAGCCCUACUAUAUUAAAACUUAAAAAGCCUCAGUAAUUAAAAUAGUGUAGAAAAACAAACAAAAAAACCCAAACCCACUACCAUCGAGUUGAUUCCAACUCACAGCAACCCUACAAGACAGAGUGGAACUGCCCCAUAGAGUUUCCAAGGAGCACAUGGUGGAUUUGAAUUGCUGACCUUCUGGUUAACAGUAGUCAUACUUAACCUCUAUGCCACCAGGGUUUCCAAAAUAGUGUAGAGAUGGUGUAAAAAGACAUAAGACGAGGCGGGGCCAAGAUGGCUGACUAGGUAGAAGCUACCUCGGAUCCCUCUUGCAACAAAGACUCAGAAAAACAAGUGAAUUGAUCACAUACAUGACAAACUACGAACCCUGACCAUCGAACACAGAUCUAAAGAGUUGACCUGAGUGACAGAGACUGAGAACAAGCAACUACGGGAAAGCAACGACUGUUUUCGGAGCCUGGAGCCAGCAUCCCAGUCAGAAAACCUUGGCGCCGGGCUUUGAACUGGGUGCAGGGGAGCUGAGCACGGCAUCCUGAAACAGCACUAACACAGGAUGCAGCCCUAGCCCCCAGAAGUGACCUCGGGGGAAGCCCAGCCAGUGCACGCAGGCAGCGCAGUGACGCAGCUGACAGGAGGGGAAGUCACCGGAGGCAGCGACUGGUUUCGGACCUUGGAGUAUGGUGUCCCAGCCAGGGAAGUCUGGUGCUGGGCUUUGGACUGGGAGCAGAGGAACUGACCACAGCUUCUGAGACAGCACAAGCACAGGACGCGGGCCUGACCCUCGGGGGCAAUCUUGACCCAGCCAAUGCACACAGGCUACACAUCCCUCAGGAAUCUCAGAUAAAAUAGUCAUCACCAAGCAAGCUUUCCCAUGCAUAUGAGGCGACUGAAAACACCAUGGCUUGGGCUGGGCACACCUCAGUCCUUAAAGUGACAUCUUUGCUUUUGCAGCAGAUUUGGCGACAGGCACAAAAAUUAUAAAAACCGUAUCCUUUGACCUAGGAAUUCCUUUUGUGGAAAAUUCAUUGUACUAAUAUUCCUGUGGCAGCCCUGAUGGUGCAGUAAUAAGAGCUAUGGCUGGGAACCAAAAGGUCAGCAGUUCAAUUCCACCAGGCGCUCCUUGGGAACCCUAUGGGGCUGUUCUACUUUGUCCUAUAGUGUCGCUAUGAGUUGGAAUCGACUCAAUGGCAAUGGGUUUUUUUUUUUUUUUUAAUAUUCCUGCAUAAGUGUGGAAUGAUAUAUUUACAAGGUUACUCAAUGCAGCAUUUUUUAUCAUAGGGAAAAGAUUAGAAUCAAACUGAAUGUCCUUCAAUAUGGCACUGAUUAAAUAAAUUAUAGUAUAUCCAUACAAUGGAAUCCUAUGCAGUUAAAAAAAAAGAUAAGGAAAUUAUAUGCUAAUAUAAAAGACCUCAAAGAUAAGUGAAAAAACCAACUCAGAGAACAGUGUGCAUAGUUUAUUCAUAUGGUUUAUGUAAAAAAAGGGGGAAGGGAAUAGAGGAUAUUCUAAUUAGUCUGUAUAGGUAUAACAGCAAUUUAAAAAGGUACAA